rnacentral:lncRNA from 1 species
UGAGCUUGCAUGGGUUGGGCCUAGUUUGUGCAGCUACUACUGCUGCAUGGGUUGGGACUAAUUUUUGCAGCUACUGCUGCUACAUGGGCUUGGACUGCAGGUUACAUGAAUUGGGUUGCAGGUCACGCUACUGGGUGAAGUGGGCCACGGGGGUUGCAUGUGCGCUGGUUGUUAGGUGUGCAAUUUGUUGUUUGCUCACAAGCACG